CCUACGGGUGGCAGCAGUGGGGAAUAUUGGACAAUGGGGGGAACCCUGAUCCAGCCAUGCCGCGUGUGUGAAGAAGGCCCUCGGGUUGUAAAGCACUUUCAGUGAGGAAGAACGCCUGGUGGUUAAUACCCAUCAGGAAAGACAUCACUCACAGAAGAAGCACCGGCUAACUCCGUGCCAGCAGCCGCGAUAAUACGGAGGGUGCGAGCGUUAAUCGGAAUUACUGGGCGUAAAGCGCGCGUAGGUGGCUUGAUAAGCCGGUUGUGAAAGCCCCGGGCUCAACCUGGGAACGGCAUCCGGAACUGUCAAGCUAGAGUGCAGGAGAGGAAGGUAGAAUUCCCGGUGUAGCGGUGAAAUGCGUAGAGAUCGGGAGGAAUACCAGUGGCGAAGGCGGCCUUCUGGACUGACACUGACACUGAGGUGCGAAAGCGUGGGUAGCAAACAGGAUUAGAUACCCCUGUAGUC
rnacentral:rRNA from 1 species